rnacentral:misc_RNA from 1 species
GAUGAAGAACGCAGCGAAAUGCGAUAAGUAGUGUGAAUUGCAGAAUUCAGUGAAUCAUCGAAUCUUUGAACGCACAUUGCGCCCCUUGGUAUCCCGAGGGGCAUGCCUGUUCGAGCGUCAUUUCACCACUCAAGCCUGGCUUGGUGUUGGGCGACGUCCCAUUUGGGGACGCGUCUCGAAACGCUCGGCGGCGUGGCACCGGCUUUAAGCGUAGCAGAAUCUUUCGCUUUGGAAGUCGGGGCCCCGUCUGCCGGAAGACCUACUCGCAAGGUUGACCUCGGAUCAGGCAGGGAUACCCGCUGAACUUAAGCAUAUCAAUAAGCGGAGGA